GUCUAGAUAGCCAAGUGGUCAACGGUAGCAAGCUGUUAACUUGCCCCGAAAGGUUCCUAGGUUCGAAUCCUAGUCUAGGCG
rnacentral:tRNA from 1 species